rnacentral:rRNA from 1 species
AUUGAACGCUAGCGGCAGGCCUAACACAUGCAAGUCGAGCGAGCGGCGGACGGGUGAGGAAUUUAUGGGGGCUGCCCGAUAGAGGGGGAUAACUACUGGAAACGGUAGCUAAUACCGCAUACUAUCGGAUGACCCAUAUGGGAUUAGCUAGUAGGUGAGGUAAUAGCUCACCUAGGCGACGAUCCCUGGCUGGUCUGAGAGGAUGAUCAGCCACACUGUGACUGAGACACGGCCCAGACUCCUACGGAGGCAGCAGUGGGGAAUAUUGCACAAUGGGCGCAAGCCUGAUGCAGCCAUGCCGCGUGUAUGAAGAAGGCCCUAGGGUUGUAAAGUACUUUCAGUCGGGAGGCGUUACCGACAGAAGAAGCACCGGCUAACUCCGUGCCAGCAGCCGCGGUAAUUC